rnacentral:rRNA from 1 species
UACGGAGGGGGCUAGCGUUGUUCGGAAUUACUGGGCGUAAAGCGCGCGUAGGCGGACCUGCAAGUCGGGGGUGAAAGCCCGAGGCUCAACCUCGGAACUGCCUUCGAUACUGCGGGUCUCGAGUCCGGGAGAGGUGAGUGGAAUUCCUAGUGUAGAGGUGAAAUUCGUAGAUAUUAGGAAGAACACCAGUGGCGAAGGCGGCGCACUGGCCCGGUACUGACGCUGAGGCGCGAAGGCCAGGGGAGCAAACGGG